rnacentral:rRNA from 1 species
CCUACGGGUGGCAGCAGUGGGGAAUAUUGGGCAAUGGGCGCAAGCCUGACCCAGCAACGCCGCGUGAAGGAAGAAGGCCCUCGGGUUGUAAACUUCUUUUUACAGGGACGAAACAAAUGCCGGUCCUUUCUUAUUACACCCAGGUUAAUACCAUGCAAGCGGCCCCGGUAAUACGUAGGUGGCAAGCGUUAGCCGGAGUUCCUGGGUGUAAAGGGCGUUUAGGCGGGUGGGCAAGUCAGAUGUGAAAUUCUGGGGCUUAACCGUAGAAUUGCAUUUGAAACUGUUUUUCUUGAGUGCUGGGGAGGCAGGCGGAAUUCGGGGUGUAGCGGUGAAAUGCGUAGAUAUUAGGAGGAACACCAGUGGCGAAGGCGGCCUGCUGGACAGUAACUGACGGUGAGGCGCGAAAGCGUGGGGAGCAAACAGGAUUAGAUACCCCUGUAGUC